rnacentral:rRNA from 1 species
UACGUAGGGGGCAAGCGUUGUCCGGAUUUAUUGGGCGUAAAGAGCUCGUAGGCGGUCUGUCGCGUCUGGUGUGAAAAUCCAGGGCUUAACCCUGGACCUGCAUCGGGUACGGGCAGACUAGAGUGCGGUAGGGGAGAUCGGAAUUCCUGGUGUAGCGGUGAAAUGCGCAGAUAUCAGGAGGAACACCGGUGGCGAAGGCGGAUCUCUGGGCCGUAACUGACGCUGAGGAGCGAAAGCAUGGGGAGCGAACAGG